rnacentral:rRNA from 1 species
UACGUAGGGUGCGAGCGUUGUCCGGAAUUAUUGGGCGUAAAGGGCUCGUAGGCGGUCUGUCACGUCGGGAGUGAAAACUCGGGGCUUAACCCCGAGCCUGCUUCCGAUACGGGCAGACUAGAGGUAUGCAGGGGAGAACGGAAUUCCUGGUGUAGCGGUGAAAUGCGCAGAUAUCAGGAGGAACACCGGUGGCGAAGGCGGUUCUCUGGGCAUUACCUGACGCUGAGGAGCGAAAGCGUGGGGAGCGAACAGG